UGGGGGAUAUUGCACAAUGGAGGAAACUCUGAUGCAGCAACGCCGCGUGAGGGAAGAAGGUCUUCGGAUUGUAAACCUCAGUAGUCAGGGACGAAAGAAAUGACGGUACCCGAAGAGUAAGCUCCGGCUAACUACGUGCCAGCAGCCGCGGUAAUACGUAGGGAGCGAGCGUUGUCCGGAUUUACUGGGUGUAAAGGGUGCGUAGGCGGGAUAGCAAGUCAGACGUGAAAUACCGAGGCUUAACUUCGGGGCUGCGUUUGAAACUGUUAUUCUUGAGUGAAGUAGAGGCAGGCGGAAUUCCUAGUGUAGCGGUGAAAUGCGUAGAUAUUAGGAGGAACACCAGUGGCGAAGGCGGCCUGCUGGGCUUUAACUGACGCUGAGGCACGAAAGCAUGGGGAGCAAACA
rnacentral:rRNA from 1 species